rnacentral:rRNA from 1 species
CCUACGGGAGGCAGCAGUGGGGAAUAUUGCACAAUGGGGGAAACCCUGAUGCAGCGACGCCGCGUGAGGGAAGAAGUAUUUCGGUACGUAAAGCUCUAUCAGCAGGGAAGAAAAUGACGGUACCUGACUAAGAAGCCCCGGCGAACUACGUGCCAGCAGCCGCGGUAAUACGUAGGGGGCAAGCGUUAUCCGGAUUUACGGGGUGUAAAGGGAGCGUAGACGGCAGCGCAAGUCUGGAGUGAAAUCCCAUGGCUUAACCAUGGAACUGCUUUGGAAACUGUGCAGCUAGAGUGCAGGAGAGGUAAGCGGAAUUCCUAGUGUAGCGGUGAAAUGCGUAGAUAUUAGGAGGAACACCAGUGUCGAAGGCGGCUUACUGGACUGUAACUGACGUUGAGGCUCGAAAGCGUGGGGAGCAAACAGGAUUAGAUACCCGAGUAGUC